CGGUGCUGCAGAUGGAACCAAAUCUCAUUAUCAAUAUAGGGCAACAAAAAAGGAUCGAACAGCGCAACAACAUCGAGGAAAUUUGACUCACCUUCCUGCAAAAAUACAUGUGCCAUGGCCUGCAAGUUUAAUUCAGGAGAAUUUUGAAUUAGGGUCAUAUCACAGGAUAAUAGCAAGAAUUUUAUGUGCAACUCUUAGUACUCAUCCUAGUUUGAUUUGCCUCGGAUUUAUCUAUAUGUUUAAUCAUGCAUCGACAGACACAGAUAAAAAUAAACAUUUUCAUUUUGUAUUAUAACAUGGUUUAUACUGUCUUGCCAGAUAUUUGGGCUACUUUCAGGUCUGUUUGAACCAAAUCAACCUCCUGGGAUGGUCAAUGCCACAUGACAAGAAGGCCUGGUAAAAAUCAUGUGGAUUCUAACAUGUGAGAGGAUAGACAGCUGAAACAGGUACUACACAUUGGGGAGCUAUUGUUCGUGAUCACGAGGCAAAACAAUUCUAUCGGCCUGGAGCCCCAUCGAUCGCUGCAAUAAUGCUGCCGAAGCUGAAGUCAAGGCGGCAUCGGAAGUCCUCUCCAUUGCUGCAUGCCUUAAUAUGCCUAGUGUACUUUAAAGUGACUGUCAAUAUGUGGUGACUGCCUUUCCAAUCAUGUUCUGGACAGGUCCCAAGCUUGCUUCAUUGUGGAUGAAGCAAUCACCUCGUGGCUGACACUAUUCCAUCUCUCAAGAUAGUGAAAGUCAACAGAGAUGGGAACAUGACAGCUCACAAGUUAGCAGCUUAUAGCCGGUCUGUGUUGUCUAGUGGUGUUUUGCACUACUCUGUUCCAACUUGUGUUAGGGAACAAGUGAUGCACGAAUGUAAUCUGAACGAAUUUGGGUAAUAUAUAGUAAACACCUUUCAAAAAAAAAAAAACUAUUACCAGACUAGUCGA